AUUAACCUUUUAUUACAUUUAAGGGCAUCACUUUAAAACAUUCUCUUGCAAAAGUUUAAGAUUAUUUGGUAAAGGAAGUUUAAAGGCUUUUUAUACAGGACGUGUUAUUUUAAUUGGAAGCAAUUUUUAAAGAGAUUUUUGAGAUUUUCGAUAAUCUUUAGUUUGUGUAUCUGAAAGUUACAGGAUUGAAUUCUAGUUUGCUACAAUAUUUACUCUAUUUAGCAAUGAUAGAAUAAUUUCCUAUGGAGCACAACAUUCCAAGGUGUCACUAAAAUGAGCCAUUUGGAAGAUGCAAUAAAACUAAAGAGAAACAAAUGUCCAUGAUUACAUAGCAAUAUAACAUCGAAAUGGCCUCAAAAGAGGUCUCGUGUUAAGUUUAAGAAGAUAAUUACAAGGUUGAACCUAGAUUUGGUUAAGAUUCAUAACCUUGCAUUUUAAUACACAAAAGAACCGUAGAUGAAAGGGUCCACCUUUUAAGACUCAAGGGACCAACCUCAUCUCAAAUAACAAACAUGGUGACACCUUUCAGUCAUUUCAAUCUCAGUCUGUCUUGAACCAUUUGCCUGAAGAAAAGCUUCCUGGUUAAUUUUAAACCCCCUGGGCUAUCUGGCCCUAUUCCUUGGAGUUUUAAAAGCAAUUACUGCAGAAGAUGGGAUGGUAAAGGAAACGAGCAUCAAAGCACUACACACCUUGUGUACCUGUAACAGAUAAUGAGCCAUAGUUUUCACUGAAACUUCUAAUUACCACCAUUCUAUUUCAUCAGCUGUUUAGCUGGUACCUACUGCCAUUUCACCUAGACUGAAAUUCUGAAUUAAUGGAAUGUGAAGGAAAUUGUGCUGCUGAUGGCCCCAGGUGGCCUUUUAGUUCUAAAAGUGAAUGCUAGACAUGGACCCUUAUACUGAAUGAGAGAAAGAAAUGAAGACUGAGUAAAAAACUAAUGACUGCAUGGCUGUUUCUGUGUUUGGGGAGCCUCACAGCCCAUACUCCUAAGGAAUGAAACCCUUCUUUUUGACAAGGUAUUUAAGAGUUCAGUACAGAUAGGCUCUUAUAUUAGCCUUUGCCAAUAAAGGCCUGAUACUUAUAGACUAAAAAUUACAAAAUUAAUUUGUUCUUUAUUUUUGUUAAACUUGUAUUUGAAAUUCCUUAUCAGAUUAGUUAAAAUUCAGGUUGUCUAUUAAAGUAUGUAAAGACCAAAA